UUUACUUCUGGUGAGAACAUGAAUACACUGUACUGCACUUGAUCUUUCAUUUAUAUAUAUAAAAAACAUCAUUUCAUCUUUCUUCUGACAGUCUUUCUAAAAGGAAGAGCAGAAGAUCUGCAGUGAAAGAGUCUGCGAUCUCAGACACAUAUGCAGCUCUGGAUCUCCAGUCUGCGACCUCUGACCUGUACGACACACUCACAACCGUUCACCACAGACCUGCUGAAAACUCCUGCUCCACUCUUGAUCCUCAGAGCUCUUCUGAACAUCACAAUCCACCAAUCAACAAGGAAAAGGCUGCAGUGAGAGGCGGAGCCAGAAAGAACCAAUCCUGAGCUGUGUGGGCGGAGCCACGGGUGAUUGACAGGGAUCAUCAUUAAUAAGUCAUUGAAUUGCUUAAGUUUUUAAAUGUUCAAUUUUUCCAGCUUCUGUUAUUGUGUCUUCGGUGUUCCUGUAAGUCACAUGUGUUAAAUUCCUGGAGGGCCGCAGCUCUGCAUAGUUUAUUUCCAACCCUAAUUAAACACACCUGA